AUUGAACGCUGGCGGCAGGCCUAACACAUGCAAGUCGAGCGGAUGAAGGGGGCUUGCUCCUGGAUUCAGCGGCGGACGGGUGAGUAAUGCCUAGGAAUCUGCCUGGUAGUGGGGGAUAACGUCCGGAAACGGGCGCUAAUACCGCAUACGUCCUGAGGGAGAAAGUGGGGGAUCUUCGGACCUCACGCUAUCAGAUGAGCCUAGGUCGGAUUAGCUAGUUGGUGGGGUAAAGGCCUACCAAGGCGACGAUCCGUAACUGGUCUGAGAGGAUGAUCAGUCACACUGGAACUGAGACACGGUCCAGACUCCUACGGGAGGAAGCAGUGGGGAAUAUUGGACGAUGGGCGAAAGCCUGAUCCAGCCAUGCCGCGUGUGUGAAGAAGGUCUUCGGAUUGUAAAGCACUUUAAGUUGGGAGGAAGGGCAGUAAGUUAAUACCUUGCUGUUUUGACGUUACCAACAGAAUAAGCACCGGCUAACUUCGUG
rnacentral:rRNA from 1 species